UACAGAGGUCCCAAGCGUUGUUCGGAUUCAUUGGGCGUAAAGGGUGUGUAGGUGGCGCCGUAAGUCGGGUGUGAAAUCUCGGGGCUUAACUCCGAAACUGCAUUCGAUACUGCGGUGCUUGAGGACUGGAGAGGAGACUGGAAUUCAUGGUGUAGCAGUGAAAUGCGUAGAGAUCAUGAGGAAGACCAGUGGCGAAGGCGGGCCUCUGGACAGUUCCUGACACUGAGACACGAAGGCCAGGGGAGCAAACGGG
rnacentral:rRNA from 1 species